GUUUUUCUUUCAAUGUUUAAGAUAAUUUUAACUUCUACAAAUUUAUCUGUCUUCAUAAUGCUUCUUGCAUUGUUCACAUCCUCUAUUCUUAUUUAUUCCCUAUAUAAAGAAUCGUUCGAAAUAUGCAUUUCCACCAUGAAUAAUUUUUUGCUCUUAUGAAAUCCCAGUUGAUAAUGGAAACCAAUUUCUCCGUCAAUGUGAUCUUGAUAUCUACAUUUUUGUUGAUCAGUUUUGCUUCUACAGCAACAAUAUUGGAAAAUAAAGAUACUAUGCUUUUGAAAUACCACAAAGGCUGACUUCUUAUUGGUAUGAUCACCGUUAAUCUCAACUGAUAUAGAAAUUUCAGGCCAUUCCAGAAAGCCAUAAUAUUUGAUUUCAUUGUCUCGCUAUCAUCUUCAAAAUCUGAGGCUCAACCUUCCAUUUCUACAUGGUGGGGAGCUAAACAGAAGUACUAUCACCUGAUCAAAUCCAAGAAAAUCAUCUUCCCUACAAAAUAUCUUAGGCAAUCAAAUCUCUUAUGAGAAUUGCUCACUAGGCAAAUCACUCACAAUGCAGCAGGUAAAACAAUUGGCAGCAAAAAGUGAUCAAAUGAAUGCCAUUAAUGUGGUCUUGACUUCAAAGGAUUAAGUACUAUCUAAACAAGUAGUUAAAUUAUUUGUUAGGAAAUUAGACCGCUACUAAUUCCGCCAGGAUCAGUGGGACGCAAAAUAAUUUGAACUGAGAAGAAAUAAAUGUAGCAAUAAUAAGUGCAAGUGACACAAGAAUUUACGUGGUUCGGCAAUCGUGCCUACGUCCACAAACCCACACCAAUUCUUUUACUAUAUCAACAAGAGAAUAAAAGGAAUACAACAAAUACACUCUCUGUAUUUUAUUUGCCUACGCAAAGACAAUCUCUCAAUUUUCUCUCGUUAAUUUUCUACACAAACGAAAGCCUAACUGCUUCUCACUUUGUGUUUUGCUCACUAUCUCUCGUGUUUUCACUCUACACAAUUUUCUUGCACUUCUCUUUUGCUCUCGUU
rnacentral:lncRNA from 1 species